GGUUCUGUAGUGUGGUGGUAAUCACAUCUGCCUAUCAUGCAGAAGGUCCUGGGUUUGAUCUCCAGUGGAACCA